GGACUAUCAUGUCGGUUGUGCCUCGGUACGUACUGGUAUUGUUGGUUUCUCCCUUCUGACGAAUCAUGAUGUCAUUUAUUUGGUGUUGUGGGGAAUUUGGACUGUUACUUUGAAAAAAUUAGAGUGUUUAAAGCAGGCUCACGCUUGAAUACAUUAGCAUGGAAUAAUGAAAUAGGACGUUUGACCCUAUUUUGUUGGUUUCUAGGAUCGACGUA
rnacentral:rRNA from 1 species